CUUCAAGUGAAACACGCGUAUGUAACAAAGUCGUAACAAUGUACACGAAUCCCUUUGAAAGAAAACACUCCGCGUUAAGGCAGACCCUUGACCGGCUGUUCAGGGGUGAAGCUAGGCUGAGCUUCAGGAAGAAAUCUUCCCUUUCAAAAAGCAACAGCAAUGCUUCAUCGGCUUCUUCGAAUGUGAUUCCAAAAUACAAUGAGAAACGCUGAAGGAAUGUUUAGUGUUGUGACAGUGCAAACAUGUGAAAUGCUUCCUGAUGCAGCAGAACUUCAAACGGUAAACGUCGGACGUCAUAACAUGAAACCGGGCCAUCAUUAGCUGCGGAUAGCAUUCGUUAUGAGUUAUGAAGCAAUUAUAAUAUAUAUUUCAGAUUUAA